rnacentral:lncRNA from 1 species
AAAUACCUCUCCUAGUAGGUAGGUGAAACUAUAUGGAUAGUGAUAGUCCUUGGCUCCAGCGGCCUCGUCGACGACGACGGAGAUCGUGCCCUCGUCGAGUAGGCUGUAUAACUCACGGGUGCGGCGCUGGUUGCUCCAAUGGUGCAACUUCCACAAGUACCCCACCAAGAGCCCCAGGCUCAUCCCGUACACGAUCUCCCUCACCACGCUUGGCGACCGCUGACCCUUCAUUCUAGCACCAACCGCUCACGCCGCCUGCGUCGCCACCCUAUGCGUCGUCGUCCACAUUGCAAAUGGCACCUACCUCCGUCUUCUUGUGCGUAGCUGCUUUGCAACAAAGCGUCCGAGUAAAUGAUGCUUUUGAUGAAGGAGAGGAACCGAGCGUGGCAGCCCUGUGAGGCACCGUGUCGGCCGAGGCGGCGGGCGCGUGGCGCGCGUGCGGUGCGCUCCCUCCAAGCGGCGCCGUCACAUGCCACCUCGUAGUCCGCGCAUAGGGCUAGACGCGGAGGAAAUGCCCAUAUGGCUCUAAAUAGGCCGGCCCAGAUAACGUCUCAAUAUUCAAAAUCAGAAAUUUCCUAUUCACAUGGCAGGCUUUUUUUGACUUCUUGAUAAGGCGGGUGUUUGCUCCACAUCCUGCGCCACUUAGAUGGAGGGCGAUGACAAGCAGCGCGCACUAUAUGUGUGUUGUUUGCCGUAACAUGUGAGUUUUUUUUUUCGUAGAUUCGUUUAUUCAAAACGCUAAUACGUGCAUCCAAAUCUCGAAUCGUUUUCAUUGUUGGAUUUCUCGUGUUCGGAUCUUCAAAACUAGAUCUUAUGUUAAUAGGUUUCGACGGUUUUGUUUUCAAGCAAAAAAAGGGGGGGGGGGGGACUGGCCCCCUCCUUUUUCGAGUUGGAGGAAGCACAUUUUUUUUCCUUUUUGAUAAACACAUUUGUGCUUCUCUCGCGCAAGCAAAUAUGUGCCUUCACGAGAAACAAUAUUUUUCUAUGCAAAAAAAAUCACCUAAUUUUUUUCUCCAAAACCUAGAGAAAACCAAAUGAAAAAUGAAAAAUAAAAAAACACAUCUAAAACUUGAAAAAAUGAAAUCCAAAAAAAGCGUCCAACAUGCACCAUGUAGCGAGACUUGCCAUCAGGACGCCAAAACUGACCCCUGAAGGUCCCCCGCAAGGGGUAACCACCAAUUACUUGCUCUCCCCUAUGCCCUAUGAGACACUCUUUGCGUCAAAAUGGCUUUGUCUCGCUUGCAGUGUCCAACUCGCGGACUUGUUAGGCCUACCCGUUUAUGUUUAGGUUCUUUCUUCAUUCGUUUCUGUUUCAUGUUGAUCGCUUUUUUUCUGGCCAGCAUGUUGGCCUGUUGUGGCGUGGUUCAUUAAUGAUUUCUUGAUUCGCUGUUUCUCAUGUAUGAAUUGGCGCACAAAAGCAAUAAAAUAAUUUUGAAAAGGAAGAAGAAAGUGUUGAACGAUUAAUUUCAAUACAGAAAUAUUUACGUUCUUGUUUUCAAUUAUGCACAACAAGAAACAAACAUAAUUUGCUCUGGCUCAAGCCUCAAAGAAGCAUACUAAAGCUGUAAAACAGAAUUUCAUCUGUAGAAACCUUUCAAAUGUUGACUUUCUUAGAACUGGUAUUCAUGCGUAAAAAUCUUUCCAAUGGUCUCCUGUGAGAUUAUAUAAUUUCUUUCUCGCACAUUUGUAAACUUGCAAAAACAUUUGAAAAUUAGAGUAAGAAGCAUACUUUCUUUCUUGGCCCUGAUAAAAAAAUAAAAAUAGCCUUAAAUUACUAAAAAAAUAUGAAUUUUAGAUAAUUUUCUUGGAUUAAAAAAUAUUUUAGGGAUUCAAAAAUGUGUUCACGACAUUAAAAAAUGUUCUAGGGAAUCAAAAUUUAUUUUAAAGAUUAAAAAAUAUUCUUCGAUUCAAAAUCUGUUAUUUUAUCAAUAAAUGCUCUAAGAUUAAAAACAAAUCAUGGAUUCAAAAAAAUCUUGAAAUUAAAAUAUAUUCUUGGAAUUCCAAAUUGGUUCUUGUAAUUUAGAUUAUGUUCUAAAAUUCAGAAAAUAUUCAAGGCAUUCAAAAAAUAUUCUAAGAUUGAAAAAAUGGUUUUGGAAUACGAAAGUAAUCAAGAUGUUCAAAAAAAUGUUUUAGGGUUCAAAUUUUGAUCUAAGAUUCAAAAAAUGUUCUAAUGUUCAAAAAUGGUCUUAGAAUUAAUAAAAAAUGCUUUUUAUUAAAAAUUUAUUCUUGAAAUUAAUAUUAUGGUUUAAGAUUUAAUGAAUGUUUAAGAAUUAAAUAAAUGUUUUCGAAUUUCAACCCUCAACUCAACUAGUCAAAACAUGUCCGGUUUAGAAAGGCCAAGGUUGUCAAGUAAACGAUAUUAGAGUUCAUAGAUGUAUCUUAGACCCACCCAGGAGUUUACAGUUGAAAUAUUUACUUAUCUCAAUAUUAUCUGAUACAUGCAAAAAUGUUGUAUGAUCCAAGUUUUGUUCAAACAUUCAAAAUGUUCUGGUCCACAUUUUAUUCUGUCAUACAUUCGUUGAAUUUAAAUAUUAUUUGAUGAUGCAGCCUUGUAUUCUGCUUACUCAUGAGUUUCCUGGGACUAUGUUUGGUCUAAACACAUUUUGUGUCCGCAACAAUUAAAAUGAUUAUUUUUAUACUAGACUUUUAUACAUUUAAAACUAUCAUAGUACACUUUAAUGAGUAUAUUUUUUUAUUACUUAGUAACAUAGUUAACCACAUGAUAGUGUUGCUAAAUUUUAGUUACAUUAUUCGUUGUUGUUUUUUUGAAAGAUCCGGCUUUAUGCUGGCUUUUCAUUGAUCAUAAGCAGGAAGCAGUGGGAAAACAAAGGUGGUGGUGAUCUAGAGGAUCCGAGGGCUUGCCACAGACCGGCAGUCCUCGAGCGACUAAGUAGCUUAGGGUUUACAUCUCAUGGUGGUUCCCCGAAGGGGCUCUCAAUGCAGGUUGCACCCGCGGCUCGCCAUAGCUCGACGCAGUCCAUAACCCUCCUGAUGAUGUUGGAGGCACUUGGUAUGUUUCUCCUGAAGGUGGCGUUGUUCCGUUCCUGCCAAAGCUCCCAACAUGUGAGCAACAGGAGCGUGUUGGUGCCUUUGCGCCAUCUUGGUGCAGACCUGUCCAGGGCGCCGAGCACGAUGGAGGAGUGCUGUUGAUUCUGCCAGCUUUCAUCAGCCGCCAGAGGGGAGCAACCUGUCCACAUACUGAUUGUUUCCCAGACUCUCUUUGCCAUUGGGCAUUCCCAAAACAGGUGCUUUGAGGAUUCAAGGCUUCGAAUGCACAACUGACAGAAAUACUCAUUUUUCCAACCGCGGCGCUGAAGUCUGUCGUUGCACCACAGCUCGUUUUGUAACAUGAGCCAUGCGAACAUCUUGAUCUUGCCGGGGGCCUAAGUCUUCCAGAUGAUCUGGUCGAAGCAUGAGGAUGUCGUGCCCUGGAAUUGCAUCUGGUAGGCUGAUCUUGUAGAGUAUUGGCCCGUCCGCUCAUGGAUCCACCUAAUGGAGUCGGGGGUGUCCGCACGUAGGUCACCGGUGGCGCCAUGCAACCUCUUGUGCAUGGCAAGGAAGUCAUGGAUUACGUCUUCAGUGCGGCAAUGGGCGAGGUCUCUGAUCCAAGUGUCAUCCGCGAGGGCGGCCUUCACCGUCCUGUUCUUUCUCCGGGCAUGCAGGGCCAGCCGUGGAAAUUGUUGGGCGAGCGCGCCCGACCCCAGCCAUGUAGAGUGCCAGAAGGAAGCCGACGCGCCGUCCCCGAUGCUGACCGAGGUUGCCAACGUGAAGAGAUGAGAGGUCUGCAGCAUUGCCAUGGCAGUUCCGAACCCACCCAUGGCCAAUCGGGGUGGCGCCAUGCGAGCCAUGGCCAGCGCAAUCUAAGUGCUCGGUCGAAGCGCUAUAGGUCAGGGAUUCCCACGCCCCCGUUCGCCGUUGGUGUACAGACCGCUGCCCAGUUCACUUUGCAGUUGGCAACGGAGAUCUCUUCAUCUUGUUUCCAAAGGAAUCGGCACCGGCAUUUGUCAAUUUCCCUGAGGAUCUUCUUGGGCACCCGCAACACAGUUAGCACGAAAGUGGGCAUGGCGCUGAGGAUGCAGUGGACAAGCAUGCGUCGUCCCGCAAUGUGGAUUAGCCUUCCCUUCCAACCUGCCAGCCGGGCCUUGAUUCUAUCUAUGAUGAACUGCAGGUGCACGAGCCGGAGCCGACCAAUAGUAAGCGGUAGGCCAAGGUAUUUGAUAGGGAAUGGGGCGAUGGAGCCUCCAAAAUUGUGCAGCACAUCUACGAGGUCUAGGUCAUUGCAGCUGAUCGGUGAGGCCGUGGAUUUAGCGGUGUUUAUUCACAGACCCGUUGCGCGUCAGAAAGCAUGCAGAAUGUUCAAUAAGGAGUCGGCCUCCUGGCAGAUUGGGUUGAUGAAGACAACGGCGUCGGCGGCGUAAAGACUAACCCUGAGCUUCAACUCAUGGCCUCGAAUUUGUUGUAGGAGGUGUUGCUCGACCGCCUCCACAAGCAGGUGGUGCAGCGGAUCUAUGGCGAGUAUGAAGAGAAACAGUGAGAGCGGGUCUCCUUGGCGUAGACCGCGGUGAUGGGCGAAGUGGUAGCCCGGCACCCCAUUCAGAUAGACCGACGAGGAUGCCGAGGAGAGGAGCAGGGCCACCCAAUCGCGCGAGCACGCGCUAAACCCUAGAUGCUGCAGUAGUUCUAGUAGGUAGUCCCAUGAGACCGUGUGGAACGCCUUCUCGAUGUCAAGCUUCAUGAGCAGUGCCAGUAUUUUGCGCCGGUGAAGGUGGCGGACGGUGUUUUGCACAUAGAGGAAGCUAUCAUGGAUGCAUUUAGUUUUGAGGAACGUCGUCUGUGCCGGAGAUAUGAUUGUGUGGACCACCUUCGCCAGCCUGAUGGAAAGCACCUUGGAUAUGAGCUUUGCUAUUGAAUGGAUCAGACUAAUCGGCCGGUAGUCCGUGAUCGCUGUGCUUCGUCCUUCUUAGGGAGAAGAACGAUCAGGGCCCGAUUGAUGGCAGCCAUGUCUCCUUCUGUGAGGUGAUAGAACUGGUGGAAGACCGUCAUGACAUCGAGUUUGAUGAUCGGCCAGCACGUUCGGAAGAAAGUUCCGUUGAAUCCAUCUAGCUCAGGCGCUUUUUCUUGGGGCGAUGCGCCGAUCGCCUGCCAAACCUCGUCCUCCGAGAAAGGGUUAUCUAGACUGACUGCCGGCAGAGAGGGCAGGUUGAUCGAGCUCCAGUUGAUGGUGGUGUUCCUGACGGGCGCCGCCCCGAGGGAGGAGCUGAAGUGAUAUUGGAUAGCCUUGGCCUCAUCGUCAUGGGAGGUAACGAUUGAAUCUGUCAUGUGAAUGGCGUGGAUGAAGUUUUUCUACCUCCUGGAGUUGAUCUUGGCCUGGAAGAAGGCUGUCCGGGCAUCGCCGGCCCGCAGCCAAGUGAUGCGCGAGGCCUGGCGCUUCCGGGAGCGCUCGAUCACGGCCAGGCCGAGGACGCGAAGCUUGAUCUUCUUCCGGAGGUCGAGCUCGCUGCUAGACAGCCGCCUAUGCUCCUGGGCAAUGUCGAGGCGGAGAACCACCUCGUUUGCGAUAUGCAGCUGCAUGCGAGUGCUACUGAAGAAACCUUUUGCCCAGAUCUUGAGAUCCUUUGCCACCCUAUCGAGCUUGGCGUGGAUGCGUCUGAAUGCAUAGCUGGAGGCGACGGGGCGAUCCCAUGCAUGUUGCACCGUUGCAUGGAAUCUGGGGAAGCGCGGACAAAAAGAUUCAAACCGGAAUUGGGCUGGUCGACGUGGUGUAGAAGCUGCGGCGAGCAGCAAGGGGCAGUGGUCGGAGCAGGACGUCAAGGUGGCGUGGAGGAGAAAGGACGGGAAUUGGUGUCCCAGGCAUUGUUGCAGAGAAACUUGUCGAUGCUGACAAGGGUUGGGUCUUCAUGCUCGUUGCUCCAUGUGUAUCGCGGUUUUUUAUCUGAUCUCCCGGAGACCUGCGGCGUCGAUCGCCGCCUGGAAUUUUCCCAUCAUUCUACGAUUGAUGUUGCUAUUGUUUUUGUUGCUGGCUUUGUAUAUGAGGUUAAAAUCACUGUUGAUGAGCCAGGGAUCGUUUGUUGGUGGCGCCGCCCUAACUAAUUCUGACAAGAACUCGUCUUUUCUACUGUCGUCGACAGGGCCGUACACCGUACAUGGUUAGCCAGUAGGGUGUUGAUGUUGCCAUUAUGGUAACGCGGACGGUGAUGGAGAAUUGCCCGACAGUGUGUGAUUGCACGUCUACUACACUACUGUCCCAGAAAAUCACGGCGCCCCUGGUGCCGGAGGCGGGAAGCACCACACAGUCGGCGAGCCUCGCUCUGCAUACCUCUCUGACCAGAGGGCUGCUCCAUACCUCGAUCUUGGUCUCCUGGAGGCAGAGGAUUGCCAGCUUAUGUGCCUCUGCCGCCUCGCUAACUACAGCGCGCCGCGCCGGUGUGUUUAAGCCUCUGAUGUUCCAACUCAUGAUGGGGCAGUUUGUAUCAGACAUUAAACACAAUGGAUCUGCUCCGGCGACUAAGGAAUUCAUUAAGCAAAUACGAGUACACCUGCACACGGUCCGGGGGUUGCCGGCGGCCACCAAUAGGCCCCAAUAUUUGCCGGCAAACGGCAGCGCCUCUACUACUACUACAUGGAGUACAGAGAACUAGACCUAGCUCAGACCAGCCGAUCGCUGGGUGUCGCCGGAGCGUACAACAUGUAGGGUGCACUAACAUGGGGAAAGCAUGGCCUCCGAGGCCUCUCCGGCAGGGCCUUGCAUGUUGGCCGCCACCCACAGCGCGACCGGGUCGAGGUUGGUGAGCUUGGCGAUGGCCAAGAUGUCGGUGUCGGACAGCGGCUCGUUGAAGCGCUUGAUGAGGGCCUCGGCCGCCUUUGCAGUCAUGGCCUCUAUCGGUGUCAAAACCGGCGGAUCUCGGGUAGGGGGUCCCGAACUGUGCGUCUAGGCGGAUGGUAACAUGAGACAAGGGACACGAUGUUUUACCCAGGUUCGGGCCCUCUUGAUGGAGGUAAAACCCUACGUCAUGCUUGAUUGAUAUUGAUGAUGUGGGUAUUACAAGAGUAGAUCUACCAUGAGAUCAAGGAGGCUAAACCCUAGAAGCUAGCCUAUGGUAUGAUCGUUGUUCGUCCUACGGACUAAAACCAUCCGGUUUAUAUAGACACCGGAGAGGGCUAGGGUUACACAGAGUCGGUUACAAUGGUAGGAGAUCUACAUAUCCGUAUCGCCAAGCUUUCCUUCCACGCCAAGGAAAGACCCAUCCGGACACGGGACGAAGUCUUCAAUCUUGUAUCUUCAUAGUCUUGGAGUCCGGCAGAUGAUGAUAGUUCGGCUAUCCGGACACCCCCUAGUCCAGGACUCCCUCAGUAGCCCCUGAACCAGGCUUCAAUGACGACAAGUCCGGCGCGCAUAUUGUCUUCGGCAUUGCAAGGCGGGUUCCUCCUCCGAAUAAUUUAUAGAAGAUUGUGAACACCAGGAUAGUGUCCGGCUCUGCAAAAUAAAUUCCACAUACCACCGUAGAGAGAAUAAUAUUUACACAAGUUCAAUCUGCUAACGUAUUUCGUGGCGUGACGUCACACCACAACCAAGCCUUUACGAAUCGUUUUUAUUAUACCACCUCCGCGCGUUUAGCAAAGCGGUUUCCUUGGCACGUCUUGUUGAAGCAGAGAUCGUGUUCCCCUUAUUCCGGGAUUCCCAUCAAUACGGACGUGGGUAACCCAACCGCGCCAUUGAUUGCGGCACUUGGGAGAUAAGCGAGUUUUAUCAGGCCGGUGGGGACGCAUGGUCUUGUCUGCCCAUAUAAGGGGAUAAAGAUCCACCCUUUUACCUACGCCUUCUUCCUCCUUUGCUUAUCCAUCUCCGCGAACUCGAGCUCCAGUGCCCAAGUCCACACAUCUCACAUCAACCUUCUCCAACUAUGUCCGGAGCGGGAGGCAAGUGGAUGACCUCCUCCGUUACGAAGGGCACAUCCAAAAGUUGCGCAGCGCUGGAUAUCUGUCCAGCGACAUCGCGCACCGGCUCCCCGACGAGGGGGAGCUCAUCCCCACCCCCAGGCCCCAUGAGAGGGUAGUAUUCCUUUCCCAUUUCCUCCGCGAACUAGGCUUCCCACUCCAUCCCUUUGUCCGGGGGCUCAUGUUCUACUAUGGCCUGGAUUUCCAUGAUCUGGCCCCGAAUAUCAUCCUCAACAUCUCGGCGUUUAUCGUCGUGUGUGAGGCCUUCCUCUGCAUCCAGCCCCACUUCGGCUUGUGGCUCAAGACCUUCAGUGUCAAGCCGAAGGUUGUGAAGGGCAGCCAAGCGGAGUGCGGAGGCGCCAUGGUGGGCAAGAUGCCCAAUGUUACUUGGCUCGAGGGCACCUUCGUGGAAACCAUUAAGGGGUGGCAAUCGAGGUGGUUCUACAUCACCGAGCCACGUGACCAUGGAUGGGCAGUGGCCCCCGAAUUCAGAUCUGGCAUCCCCAUAAGGCUCACCUCCUAGAAAGAGAGUGGCUGGACAUGGGGUGAUUCGGAGGAGCUGACCGGACUCCAAGCUUGCAUCCAAAAGCUAGUGAGCAAGAAGCUCAAGCUUGUCAACAUAGUCUAGGUCAUGCUCAUCCGCUAGAUUCUCCCGUCCCAACAACGGGACUUCAAUAUGUGGGAGUUCGAUUCGGCGCAGCACCAGACUUUGAACAGGCUCUUCGACACUACGUACGAAGAGGCCUGGAGGGUGCUGUUUAAGGGCGUCGAGGCUCCCGCAUCCGCUACCGAAGAUCGUGGAUUCAGCUCGCAGUGUCCGGCUAGCGAGGUAAGAGAUUUUACCCUUUACGGGGCACUCGUUUUCCAUAGUUUGACUCUAUGUGGGAUCUAAACUCCCUCUCCUUUGACAGGACUGGCUGAAGAAGGCCGAGCGGACUAACUAUCCGGCCCCUUUGCCAGAAGACCCAGCGAACGCCCGCUUAAUGGGGCUGCUGGUUCCGGCACCCCAUGUGGUGCCGGAGAAGAAGACCAAGAAGAAGGCCACGGGCACUCGAAAGAGUUCCCAUUUUCAGGUGUCAUCGGACGAUGACUCCGAGGCGAACUCCUCCCACGAAGGCGAGGAGGAGAAGAAAGAGGCCUCUCCCCCAGCGGGGGGAGGGAAGAAAAGGAAGGCCUCCCCAACGAGGGAGGCCGAAGGGUCCAAGAAGGGAAGGACUCUUCCCCCGGACUGCUCUGCCAACGCCGGCGACGACGACGAGGAUUGGCCUUCAAGGGCCAAGCCCCUGGCGAGAUCGUAAGUAUCCGGACUCCCGAAUAACUUCAUGAUUUUUAUUUUCUCCACAUGGUGUCUUUCUAAUGCCGCAUACAACCCUGCAGUCCGCCCAAGGAUGAUCUUCCCGCUUCGCCGAGCGGGUCCUUGGGUGCGUCGGAUAUGGAUUCCCUUCCGACCGCCUCCUCCCCCCGUGAUGCGGACGAUGCCGAGGUGGGAUCCCGGGAAGGGACCCGCCAGGAGGAAGAGGCCCCGAAGGUGCCGCAGGGCAACCUCCCGGACUUUGCACCGGACUCCGCUCCGGAACUUGUAGUGGCUCCGGAGUCCGGCGGGCGGCCCCUUCGUAAGAAGGGCAAGACCGUGACGCCGGCGGCCUCCGUCCAACCGAAGGCGCCGUAUAGCUUGCUGGAAGCGCUCAACGGUGCUUCCAUCGAAGAGGAACACCGCACCGUCAUGAGUGCGGUGAUUCAGAAGGUUUAGCUCGCCAAGAGCGGGCUGACCGAAGCCUACAGCAGCCUUCUAACAGGCUUUGAGGUAAGAAUUAUGAUAUAUGUAAGAUAGUACCGCAUAGACAGUAGCCCCUGAUGCUCGGUUCGGUGUUCGGAAAGAAAAGUCGGACUGAGGAUCUAAAAAGAUAUACGCAGGAGUCAUAAAAAAUAUGUCAAUAUGGAAUUGCAGGCUGUGCUGCUGACCUCUGUCGCACUGACUGCGGAUGUCAAUACUUUGAAGCAAAGCCUCGAGCGGUCCGAGAACGAGCUCGGCCGUGCCAAGAAGCAGCUCGAGGACAAGGAAGGUGAGUAACACCUUAUUAAAAUUGUACCUUACAGAAAAGGAUUUGGUUGCAAGAAAAAUGACAAGGAUAACGUGGGUAUUGCAGGGGCCACGAACAAGGUGGCGACCUUGAAGUAGGCGGUGUCCGCGGCCGAACGCAAUGCGGCCGUGGAGCGCACCGAGCGAGAGAAGCAGGAGGCGCGGGUGGCGGAGGUACAACAAGAGCUCCAGGCUCUCGUGGAAAAACAUGAGAGUUUGGAGCGCGACUUGAACACUCGAGAGUCCGAGCUUGCAUCGGCUCUUGAGAGUGCCAAAGCCGCUAAGGCCGAAACCUACAAGGCCCUCCAGGAAAUCGAGGCGUUGAAGAAAAUAGCGGCGGGUAAGGCAUUUUUCAUGCAAAGUAAGCAUGUGAGUGUGAAUUACCUAUCACUUACCCGAAUUUGGAGCUCUCCAGGAGCGUUCGCAGAUCUGCCCCGCAGCGUGUCCGAUGCUGCCGCUUUCUAUAGGGCCGAGGAGGGGAGCUCGACGGAGAAGGUUUUCUGGUCUCAGUUUGCUGAGGCCGGACAUCCGGUGCCCCUUAGCGACCAGCUGAAGCAGCUGGUCGAGCUCCACAAGGUGGCCGAACAGGCCAUGAAGGGCCUCAUAGUUCGGCUGUGGCCCAUGGAGGCCAUGCCUGGGAGCUACUUCGGCCUGGUGUGGCGGCUGGUGGAUGCGUGUCCAUGGGUUGAAGUCAUCAAGCACUCCGCUUGUAUUGAAGGUGCCCGUCGGGCCCUUGCCCGCGCAAAGGUGCAAUGGGGCAAGAUGGAUGCUGAGAAGCUUGUGACGGACGCGCCACUGCCGGGCAAGGAGUAUCGCACGCCCGAGAUGUAUUAUAAGAGUGUCCUGAAGGGAGCCCGCAUUAUUGCGGGUGAGUGCUCCAAAGAUGUAAUAUUUGAGUAGACUCGCAUUUUGUUAUCCUGUGCGCUGAAAACUUUGUUCAUAUGCGCUAAGCAACACUUGUUAAUUUAAAAUAUUACAUUUUGUGCAGCCGUUUAUCAAAUCUGAGAGAUGGCAAGUCGUCGGCUUCAGCCCCCAUGCCACGAGUGCUGGGGUGUUCGGGAUAAAUUUGAGCACUCUUGUUCCCAUUUUUGGGUCCAUCUAGGGAGGCGCUCAACACAACGAACGAGGCAACCGGACUUAUAAUGCUUGAACACUCUCACUUAGCCAUAGAAUUCUAUAAUUUUAAAUUUCGGCGAAGCCCCUAGUCUUCGGAAGGCCGAAUUUGGGGCACUAUCCACGCCUGGGCCGGACAAAGCCGGUUCCUCGCUCUAAGCGGCAUAAGUCUUUAGGGACUCGAAAAAACCUCUCGAAGAGCGACCGGCUCUCGCCUCAUCAUGACGGUCAGUUUUAGCUUUCUCCAUUGAGGCGCUCGCCCAGCUCAACCGGGGUGCAAUCGCAGUGGUUCUCCCAGUGCUACCUUAGCCGAUACAACAGAACGUAAGGUACCAAAACAUGGGAGCCGGGCAAACCCAACUAUUGACCCAAGACAUGAUUCAGAGCCGAUGCAUAUAAUUCUAUAAGUUCGGGGUGCCGCACUUGUGAAAGUGUUCGGACUUAUCACACCAUGAUGCGGGAAACAUAAGCCCCUGGUGUAUUUAGCCGUACCAAAGUGUACGGAUGCACCAUGUCAUAAAUGAACAUAUGUAUAAGAAAGAAAUGCAAUUAUAAGCAAAAAGGUGUUGCAUUGUUUAUUCAAGAAAUACUGCCAUGAGUGCAGAACGAUACAAAUAGUGCGGUAAGCAAGGGAUGGGACUAUUAAACAUGUCCCCCUCCAGGGGUAGGCUGCGGAAUGGUGUAUAAAACAGAUUUAAUGCUCGUAAUUGAAACCACCUGAAUAUUCGUCGUAGCCUUUCUCCUUCCCUGGCUGUUGCAUCGUGAGUUCGGCAGGUCUACUGCCGGACAGGGCCUCUGAUGAACAGAGUCAUGUGGGUAAAAAAAAGAAAGAAAAAGAGAAAAAAGAACGACACACUUGAGAGCCCCUGGUGUGGUUAAGCCACGUUCUGGGCCUAUCAUGGUCGUGCCCCUCCCCCUAUGCCCAUGGUAUCUCCAGAGCGUAAUGAUGUACGCGAAGGACCAGUCUUGCAAUUUUGCAGGGGUUGGGGUUGGGGCCGCAUUGCUAUGCGUGCUCGGAACGUGCCAGGUGGUCUUGUUGUAGGUUACUCCGGGCGCGUUUAGCCGUGUCCGGUCGCUUAACGGCCGGACUCGAGAAUUGCCUUAAGAGGCUGCACUGUACUUCUUUCGCGAGAGCCGCUGUAUCUUCCUUCGUUCGGAGAGAGCGUUCAGUGUUUCCGUUGACCGUGAUGACUCCUCGAGGGCCUGGCAUCUUGAGCUUGAGGUAUGCGUAGUGCGGCACCGCGUUUGAACUUUGCAAACGCGGUACGUCCGAGCAGAGCAUGAUAGCCGCUGCGGAACGGAACUAUGUCGAAGAUUAACUCCUCGCUUCGGAAGUUAUCUGGGGAUCCGAAGACCACUUCCAGUGUAACUGAGCCUAUACAAUUGGCCUCUACACCUAGUAUGAUGCCUUUAAAGGUCGUCUUUGUGGGUUUAAUCCUUGAGGGGUCUAUGCCCAUUUUGCGCAUUGUAUCCUGAUAAAGCAGGUUCAGGCUGCUGCCGCCGUCCAUCAGGACUCUGGUGAGGUGAAAUCCAUCGACGAUUGGGUCUAAAACCAAUGCGGCGAAUCCGCCGUGGCAGAUGCUGGUGGGGUGGUCCCUUCGAUCAAAAGUGAUCGGGCAGGAGGACCAUGGGUUGAACGUCGGGGCGACUGGCUCCAUCGCGUAUACAUCCCUGAGUGCACGCUUCCGCUCCCUUUUGGGUAUGUGGGUUGCGUAUAUCAUGUUCACCGUCCGCACUUGUGGGGGGAAACCCUUCUAUCCUCUAUUGUUCGGCGGUCGGGUCUCUUCCUCGUCAUAGCUAUGCAGCCCCUUGUCGUUGUUUUCGGCAAUUAGCUUGCCUGCCUGCUUGAAUACCCAACAGUCCCUGUUGGUGUGGUUAGCUGGCUUUUUGGGGGUGCCGUGUAUCUGGCACGAGCGAUCGAGUAUUCGGUCCAAAUUGGACGGACCCGGAGUAGUUCUUUUGAAUGGCUUUUUCUGCUGACCUGGUUUAGAGCCUCUGAAUCCGGCAUUGACUAUCGUAUCCUCAUUAUUGUCGCCGUUAAUGCGGCAUUUGUUCUUGUUGCGGCACGACCUGCCAUUCCGGUCCUUGAUAUCCGGACUGCCAGAAUUUUUGCUGAGGUUGUUGCUGCGGACUAGCCAGCUGUCCUCUCCUGCGCAGAAGCGGGUCAUGAGUGAUGUGAGUGCUGCCAUGGAUUUCGGCUUUUCCUGUCCCAGGUGCCGGGCAAGCCACUCGUCGCGGAUGUUAUGUUUGAAGGCCGCGAGGGCCUCCGCAUCCGGACAGUCGACAAUUUGAUUUUUCUUGGUUAAGAACCGUGUCCAGAAUUGUCUGGCCGAUUCGUCUGGCUGCUGAAUUAUAUGGCUUAGGUCGUCGGUGUCUGGUGGUCGCACAUACGUGCCCUGGAAGUUAUCAAGGAAUGCGGCUUCCAGGUCCUCCCAACUCCCAAUUGAUUCUGCUGGCAAGCUGUUAAGCCAAUGCCGAGUUGAUCCUUUAAGCUUGAGUGGGAGGUAUUUGAUGGCAUGAAGAUCAUCACCGCGGGCCAUGUGGAUAUGAAGGAGAUAGUCUUCGAUCCAAACCGCGGGGUCUGUUGUGCCAUCAUAAGAUUCAAUAUUCACAGGUUUAAACCCUUCGGGGAUUUGAUGAUCCAUUACUUCAUCUGUGAAGCAUAGUGGGUGUGUGGCGCCUCUGUAUUAGGCUAUAUCACAACGAAGCUCCAAAGAGCUUUGUCUACUGUGUUCGGCCCGGCCAGACUUGCUGUGUCCGGCGCGACGGUUGUCAUCACGUAUCAUGGGGCGCCCACGCGAUCCGUAGAUCGAUCUUGAUUGUCUUGCCUUAUCCUCCAAUAUAUCUCGCAAGUCCAGAGCGUUCCCCUAUGGCCUUGUGCUUUUGGAGCGAUGCCGGGGUACGGUUCUAAUGGAGGGCCUAGAGGCCUCUCUGUCGCGGCCACGGGGUGGUCGGUCAGCCGUAUCGUGCGCUGGUGAUGCAGGUUUAUAUGCCUCCUCCUCAAAUUGGGGGAGCAGCUUGCGUUUGGGGUAGCUUUUGGAGGGGCGUUCAAGCUCAUACUCUUCGGCCGCAAGGACUUCAGUCCAUCUGUCGGCUAGCAGAUCUUGAUCAGCUCUAAGUUGUUGCUGCUUUUUCUUGAGGCUGUUUGCCGUGGCCAUAAGCCUGCGUUUAAAACGCUCUUGUUCGACGGGAUCCUCAGGCACGACAAAUUUGUCGUCGUUGAGGCUUGCCUCGUCUCCGAAGGGAGGCAUGUAAUUAUCAUCCUCUACCUCUUCGUCUGCCGUUCUCUCAUGAGGGCUGGCUUCUCCGUCUUCCUGUGUUGAAUCUUGCUGGAGGGGGUUGUCUUCGGCACUAUCUGGGGUAUUAUUAUCUCCGGUGCCGGAAUCUCCAUUCUUACUGUGGUGGGAUUUAGAGCGGCGCCGCUGACGCCGACGCUUGGGUUGUUUCUUGGAUGGGUCAUCCUCCGCUGUUCCUUCGCCUUUCCCAUCCUUUGGGAUAUCCAUCAUGUAUAUGUCAUAUGAUGAGGUGGCUUUCCAGUGCCCAGUAGGCGCUGGUUCUUGGUCGUCUCCGGCAUAGUCGUCCAUACCGUCGAUGUCUUCGGAGUCGAAGUCUAGCAUGUCGGUUAGAUCGUCGACAGUGGCUACUAAGUGGGUGGUGGGUGGGCUUUGAAUUUCUUCGUCGUCCGCAUGCCAACUAUCCUGACCGCAGUCCGGCCAGGGCUCUCCUGAUAACGAGAGAUGCUUUAGCGAACUCAGGAUGUCGCCGAAAGGUGAGUGUUGAAAGAUGUCCACAGCGGUGAACUCCAUGAUCGGCGCCCAACUGGAUUUGAUUGGAGGGUGCACGGAAGGUUCGGAGUCCGGCGAGGAGUCCGGCACCUCGGAGUCAUGAGCUUUACAAGGGACAAGGCCAGUGUUCGGCUCCAUCGCCAUAGAGGUUGCAGACCCCGAGGAGGUGUCUAGCCACCCGUCCUCGAUCUGCGCAGCCGGCUCCGAAUCGAGGGUUGGAGCGGGCUCGUGUGCGGCCUCCAGGGCACUGUUCGGCUGCAGAGCUAAAUCAUGCCCAUCAUGACAGUGCGGCGCGCUCGGCUGUGGCUUGAAUCCAUCGAAGAUCAAGUCUCCGCGGAUGUCAGCCGUGAAGUUUAAACUUCCAAAUCUGACCUGACGGCCAGGGGCGUAGCUUUUGAUCUGCUCCAGACGGCCAAGCGAAUUGGCCCGCAGUGCAAAGCCGCCGAAUACGAAGAUUUGUCCGGGGAGAAAAGUCUCACCCUGGACUGCGUCGUUGUUGAUGAUCGAAGAAGCCAUCGAGCCUAUCGGUGACGACACAGGGGAACUCUCAAUGAAAGCACCAAUGUCGGUGUCAAAACCGGCGGAUCUCGGGUAGGGGGUCCCGAACUGUGCGUCUAGGCGGAUGGUAACAGGAGACAAGGGACAGAUGUUUUACCUAGGUUCGGGCCCUCUUGAUGGAGGUAAAACCCUACGUCCUGCUUGAUUGAUAUUGAUGAUGUGGGUAUUACAAGAGUAGAUCUACCACAAGAUCAAGGAGUCUAAACCCUAGAAGCUAGCCUAUGGUAUGAUUGUUGUUCAUCCUACGGACUAAAACCAUCCGGUUUAUAUAGACACCGGAGAGGGCUAGGGUUACACAGAGUCGAUUACAAUGGUAGGAGAUCUACAUAUCCGUAUCGCCAAGCUUGCCUUCCACGCCAAGGAAAGUCCCAUCCGGACACGGGACGAAGUCUUCAAUCUUGUAUCUUCAUAGUCUUGGAGUCCGGCCGAUGAUGAUAGUUCGGCUAUCCGGACACCCCCUAGUCCAGGACUCCCUCAGCCUCCUUUGGGCCGAGGAUGCUGAGGCCAUGGAUGAUGCGGAGAGUGGCGCGCUGACUGACAGGGACCGUGGAGGGAUUGCUGGCUUGGUGUGCGCUGUGGCGAGUCGCCGCAGGCCUGGAGCGGAGCGGGGUCUUGGUGCGGUUGGGCGCCCGGCCCACCACAGAGGCCGAGUUGUUGGAGAAGAGCUGCUUGGUCGCGCCCCUGUCGCCUUCUUCGUUGAUCUGCAGGUGGCAGACUUGGCUGAUCACGAGCUGAGCUGCAACGAGUGCGUGUCUGCCAUCGUCGGGGUGUGCCUGGUGAGAGAGAGGGCAGGGCCCAUGUCGAUGCCAUCUGUGUCGCCCCUGGUGCCCCCUCGUGCUCGGAGAAGGAGAGGGGCUUGUCCACUUUCUUUGCCGCCGCCGCAUCGACGGCAGCAGCCCUAGGGUCCGGCGGGGCGGCGGUGGGAGCUCCUUGCCGGCUUCCUCGAAGAACUCGGCCAUCGGGUCCGCUUCCGCGGCCGCCACGAGGGGGGACAGCGGGCGCGGCGGGGCCAGGAGUGGCUUGGUGGGAGGCGGAGCGGUCCUCGAUGACUGCCCGCGCUUGAAGCGCCUGGUGCCAUCCACACCCUUCCCGCGCUGUGUGACCUGGAUGUUGUUGUUGCCGUAGCUCUUGCCGCGAUGCUUGUCGUGGUGGUCAGAGCUGCUGCGGCGCCCGCGGGGCGCCCCUUGGCGGUGUCGAGAGCUUAGCGUGCGGCUGCGUUGGUGCUCCAGAGGUGGGUCGACCGCGACCACGGUGUGCUCCUUGCCGCGGCCCCGCCCCAGCAGGGUAUCCUUCCAGGAUCGCCUCUGACCGCCAUCGUCCUCGUUGUCCUGGCCGCGCCUGGCGUCCUCCGAGGGCAUGCCCCUGUAGCUCGUGGACACCACCAGCGCCUGGGGGCGAUCUCGUUGCCCCAGGUCCUGUGAGUCCAGCCGCCGGCAGAGGGGCGACGCGAGAAUGGGCGAUCGUCGUCGUCCGAGGAGGGCAGACCACUCUGGACCGAGUGAGAGGACCGCGGGGACAGAGGGGUCCAGUCCUCGAUGCGGUCGAUGUGCACCAGGACAUCCCACCUGAGCAGGGCCGAUGGCGGCGCAACAGUGCGGCUCGGCGGAGAGAAGACGUGCAUCUCCUCCACCCACCCCGCGCCUCGCGUGUGCUUCCAGAGCAUCCGCCUGGUGGGGAUGUGGUGUAGCUCCCACACCCACACCCACACGGCAAACGUCUUCGUGUCAACCCGCUCGAAAGUGCGGCUGUCAAGGUGGUCGAUGAUGACCUGGUCGCCGAGCGCGUCGGCCGCUCCCUCCAGGGUCCAGAGUUGCAUGGGCAGCUUCUCGAGGACGACGCGCACGUGCAUCAUCCAGGUGGCGUGCACCGUGUGCGUGUCCUCCCGCCAUGGCUCCAGUAGGAAUUGCAUGCCAUCGACCGUGAUCGCGCCCUGGCGCACGACCAGGUCAUUGUGGGUGGGCAGGUGGAAGUGGAUGAAGAAGUCUUCCGGGGCGUGGCUGGUGAUGCGGAGGAGGUGCGUGGGGAUCUGGAACUCCUUCUCGGCGGCCCGGCCGAUGGAGAAGGGGCUGGCGACGUGGACCUUGCUGACGGCAGUCACCACCACCGCGUGUUGCUGCAGGAGGAAGACUUGCUGCUCCAGGGAUGGCGUGGAAGCGAUCACCUUGUGGGUGGAGCGAGGCCGGCGCCCGUGGUCAAGGCCGGGGGCACCGCCGGAGGCCAUGGGUGGCGCGCUGGAGCGGUCGGGGAAGACAAGGCGCUCAUGAACGGUACGUGCGGCGACGCUCAUGCCCAGGCGGUCACGCACCGAGCCGUCCCCCUCCGGUUCCUCUGGUUUUGGGGGCACUCUCUGUCGUAGUGGCCGGGCUUUCUGCAGAUGAUGCAGUGAAGUGGAUCGUGGCAAUCUACAUGGCGGUGGCUGGAGCUCAGGCAGCGGAAGCAGAGGCCUUUAAAUCUGCUCAAGAAGGCCUCGCGCCCCGGGGAGGAGCCGCGGCCGGACCGCGGUCCGAAGGCAGACCCGUGGCGGGGCGGCGCACGGACCGCAGAGGCUCUGAUGGCCUUCUUGCUCUUGCGGGAGAGGUGCAGCUCCCGUCCCUCUUGAUGGUCGUCGGUGGCCUCAUCAAUGUUGUUGUGGGCCAGAUCUGGCAAAGGGGACGGUGCUACUAUGAUGGAUCGAAGGCGGGGUUGCUCGAACGGGGGGUGGCGGGCAUGGCCUCCCGGUCCGAGGGGGGCGCGCCCUCGGGGGUCACCCCGCGUCGCAGGAUUUGCGGCGGCGUUCCCCCAUCCCGCGUGGCCGGGGAGAGGGGAGUGGCAGCCACCUCGGAAGGCCCGGCGGAUAGAUCUAGGGGAGUGGCAACCACCUCGGAUGACCCGACGGAUAGAUCCAGGCCCGUGGGGGAGGAGCAAUGAAGACCGGCCGGUGGCGACCCAGGAUCACGGGGAGAAGCGGGGGAAGGCAUGGGAAGGGGCAGCGGACCCGGGGAUGGGCAGCUGCUGCUGCAGGUGGCCGCCGCAGCCGGAGUGGCCAGUGGCGCGGGGGUGAGGAGGAAAGGGCGCUCUCGCUCACGCUCACCCGUCUCUCACACUGAAUUAAUUGAAGCGGGGUAUUGGAGAGGCUGGAGAAAUAUGGUUUACCCAUUAUUCGUUGUUAUACAUUCAUAAUAUACAUCAUUGGUAUUUUUGGCUUCUAUUGAAUAUAACUAUGUGUAAAAAGGUUAUUUUACAAUAAUAUUGACAAGUGCAUAAAUUAUAUUGUGUACACAUAAAUACUUGUGUGUGAUAUUUUAGUACUAUUAAAUAUCAUGGUACAGAUCUGCACAAUACAAAUAUCAUGGUAGGGAUAUAUGGAAGUAAUCCAGUCCAACAGAUGGAGUCUUCUUCAUUGGGCAAAAGAGUGAUAUCAAGCAGGAAACAUCCGAAGACCCUGACUGACAUUCUCCAUGCCUGUCCUACCUCACAAUCAUGGUGUCUUAGAAUCAGCCAUCCAACACCCCCUGCCGAAAGUGCGCCGCGAGCAAUCCAAACACUCCAACCAAAGAAAAACAGAAACACCCGACAGUAAUUGUUUCACAAGAGAACACUAAUUCUGCAGCCUCUACUGAUGAAUGACACGCAUCAGUCUAUUCUCUUCGAUCGGCAACGAGACAAGGCUGGCAGCAGAGCUGCAGUACACAUUACAGAGUGACACGAGGAAGAACAGAGCUGAGCUAGCUACAUAGCUAAACAAAGCAAAACAAACCAAACCGCUACUGUCUUACUGAUCUGUGGAAGCACGGACUGAAAAUACCUCUCCUAGUGGGUAGGCAGGUGAAACUAUAUGGAUAAUGCUAGUCCUUGCUCCGGCCGGCUCGUCGACGACGACGGAGAUCCUGCCCUGGUCGAGCAGGCUGUGGAACUCGCGGGUGCGGCGCUGGUUGCUCCAGUGGUGCAGCUUCCACAGGUACCCCGCGAAGAGCCCCAGGCUCAUGCCGUACACGAUCUCCCUCACCACGCUCGGCGGCCGCCGACCCUUCAUUCUCGCCCCCGCCGCCGAUGCAGCGUGCGUCGCCACCUUGUGCACCGUCGUCGACAUGGCAGAUGGCACCUAC